GCCGGGCGUGGUGGCGCGCGCCUGUAGUCCCAGCUACUCGGGAGGCUGAGGUGGGAGGAUCGCUUGAGUCCAGGAGUUCUGGGCUGCAGUGCGCUAUGCCGAUCGGGUGUCCGCACUAAGUUCGGCAUCAAUAUGGUGACCUCCCGGGAGCGGGGGACCACCAGGUUGCCUAAGGAGGGGUGAACCGGCCCAGGUCGGAAACGGAGCAGGUCAAAACUCCCGUGCUGAUCAGUAGUGGGAUGGCGCCUGUGAAUAGCCACUGCACUCCAGCCUGGGCAAUAUAGUGAGACCCUGUCUCU
ensembl:misc_RNA Metazoa_SRP Metazoan signal recognition particle RNA